CAUAACAAAGUUGGAGCUGCCAUUUAAGGACCUGAUUCAGAGAAAGGAAAGUUUGAGGCACUCUGAAAACUGAAGAAUAUGAGAUAUAAAGUCACACAUCUAUCUUACAACAGAAGCAAGAUAGGAGCUCCUUGCCGCUAACAUGAAAAUGAGAAAAGAAAAGAAGUGGGAAAGCUGAUGGUCUUUCAAGCUGAUUCUGCAAGAAAUAUGCUGGGGUUUUCCAGCUUCAUUUUGAUAAGGCUUUUUGGGCAGUGAGGUAAGUGAGAUUUAAGUACCAGCUUAAUACUAACGUAAUAAUUAAAAGUUCCACUUUCUAACACAAAUGCAACUGAACCAAAUUUUUAAAGAUCG